UACGUAGGGACCGAGCGUUGUCCGGAAUCAUUGGGCGUAAAGAGCGUGUAGGCGGCUAUUUAAGUCCUGCGUGAAAUCCUGCGGCUCAACCGCAGACGGUCGUGGGAAACUGGAUGGCUAGAGUGCGGGAGAGGAGAGUGGAAUUCCUGGUGUAGCGGUGAAAUGCGCAGAUAUCGGGAAGAACACCCGUGGCGAAGGCGGCUCUCUGGGACGGUACUGACGCUGAGACGCGAAAGCGUGGGGAGCGAACAGG
rnacentral:rRNA from 1 species